rnacentral:rRNA from 1 species
GAUGAACGCUGGCGGCGUGCCUAAUACAUGCAAGUCGAGCGAACGGACGAGAAGCUUGCUUCUCUGAUGUUAGCGGCGGACGGGUGAGUAACACGUGGAUAACCUACCUAUAAGACUGGGAUAACUUCGGGAAACCGGACUUAAUACCGGAUAAUAUUUUGAACCGCAUGGUUCAAAAGUGAAAGACGGCCUGGCGGUAACUUAUAGAUGGAUCCGCGCUGCAUUAGCUAGUUGGUAAGGUAACGGCUUACCAAGGCAACGAUGCAUAGCCGACCUGAGAGGGUGAUCGGCCACACUGGAACUGAGACACGGUCCAGACUCCUACGGGAGGCAGCAGUAGGGAAUCUUCCGCAAUGGGCGAAAGCCUGACGGAGCAACGCCGCGUGAGUGAUGAAGGUCUUCGGAUCGUAAAACUCUGUUAUUAGGGAAGAACAUAUGUGUAAGUAACUGUGCACAUCUUGACGGUACCUAAUCAGAAAGCCACGGCUAACUACGUG